CGGCCCAGACUCCUACGGGAGGCAGCAGUGGGGAAUUUUGGACAAUGGGCGCAAGCCUGAUCCAGCCAUGCCGCGUGUCUGAAGAAGGCCUUCGGGUUGUAAAGGACUUUUGUCGGGGAAGAAAGGGUUUUUGCUAAUACCGAAAACUUAUGACGGUACCCGAAGAAUAAGCACCGGCUAACUACGUGCCAGCAGCCGCGGUAAUACGUAGGGUGCGAGCGUUAAUCGGAAUUACUGGGCGUAAAGCGGGCGCAGACGGUUUGAUAAGCAGGAUGUGAAAUCCCCGGGCUCAACCUGGGAACUGCGUUCUGAACUGUCAGGCUAGAGUGCGUCAGAGGGGGGUAGAAUUCCACGUGUAGCAGUGAAAUGCGUAGAGAUGUGGAGGAAUACCGAUGGCGAAGGCAGCCCCCUGGGAUGACACUGACGUUCAUGCCCGAAAGCGUGGGUAGCAAACAGGAUUAGAUACCCUGGUAGUCCACGCCCUAAACGAUGUCGAUUAGCUGUUGGGGCACUUGACUGCUUCAGUAGCGUAGCUAACGCGUGAAAUCGACCGCCUGGGGAGUACGGUCGCAAGAUUAAAACUCAAAGGAAUUGACGGGGACCCGCACAAGCGGUGGAUGAUGUGGAUUAAUUCGAUGCAACGCGAAGAACCUUACCUGGUCUUGACAUGUACGGAAGACUCCGGAGACGGAGUUGUGCCUUCGGGAGCCGUAACACAGGUGCUGCAUGGCUGUCGUCAGCUCGUGUCGUGAGAUGUUGGGUUAAGUCCCGCAACGAGCGCAACCCUUGUCAUUAGUUGCCAUCAUUUGGUUGGGCACUCUAAUGAGACUGCCGGUGACAAGCCGGAGGAAGGUGGGGAUGACGUCAAGUCCUCAUGGCCCUUAUGACCAGGGCUUCACACGUCAUACAAUGGUCGGUACAGAGGGUAGCCAAGCCGCGAGGUGGAGCCAAUCCCACAAAACCGAUCGUAGUCCGGAUUGCACUCUGCAACUCGAGUGCAUGAAGUCGGAAUCGCUAGUAAUCGCAGGUCAGCAUACUGCGGUGAAUACGUUCCCGGGUCUUGUACACACCGCCCGUCACACCAUGGGAGUGGGGGAUACCAGAAGUAGGUAGGUAACCGCGAGAGCCCGCUA
rnacentral:rRNA from 1 species